UACGUAGGGUGCAAGCGUUGUCCGGAAUUAUUGGGCGUAAAGAGCUCGUAGGCGGUCUGUCGCGUCUGGUGUGAAAAUCCAGGGCUUAACCCUGGACCUGCAUCGGGUACGGGCAGACUAGAGUGCGGUAGGGGAGAUCGGAAUUCCUGGUGUAGCGGCGAAAUGCGCAGAUAUCAGGAGGAACACCGGUGGCGAAGGCGGAUCUCUGGGCCGUAACUGACGCUGAGGAGCGAAAGCAUGGGGAGCGAACAGG
rnacentral:rRNA from 1 species